UUGAAUUGAAGAGUUUGAUCAUGGCUCAGAUUGAACGCUGGCGGCAGGCUUAACACAUGCAAGUCGGACGGUAGCAGGUAAGUACUUGUACUUAUGCUGACGAGUGGCGGACGGGUGAGUAAUGCUUGGGAAUCUGUCUUAUGGAGGGGGAUAACGACGGGAAACUGUCGCUAAUACCGCGUAGAAUCGGGAGAUGAAAGUGUGGGACCUUCGGGCCACAUGCCAUAGGAUGAGCCCAAGUGUGAUUAGGUAGUUGGUGGGGUAAAGGCCUACCAAGCCGACGAUCGCUAGCUGGUCUGAGAGGAUGGCCAGCCACACCGGGACUGAGACACGGCCCGGACUCCUACGGGAGGCAGCAGUGGGGAAUAUUGCGCAAUGGGGGCAACCCUGACGCAGCCAUGCCGCGUGAAUGAAGAAGGCCUUCGGGUUGUAAAGUUCUUUCGGUGAUGAGGAAGGUUGGUGUGUUAAUAGCAUGCCAAAUUGACGUUAAAUACAGAAGAAGCACCGGCUAACUCCGUGCCAGCAGCCGCGGUAAUACGGGGGGUGCGAGCGUUAAUCGGAAUAACUGGGCGUAAAGGGCACGUAGGCGGACCUUUAAGUGAGGUGUGAAAUCCCCGGGCUUAACCUGGGAAUUGCAUUUCAUACUGGGGGUCUGGAGUACUUUAGGGAGGGGUAGAAUUCCACGUGUAGCGGUGAAAUGCGUAGAGAUGUGGAGGAAUACCGAAGGCGAAGGCAGCCCCUUGGGGAUGUACUGACGCUGAUGUGCGAAAGCGUGGGGAGCAAACAGGAUUAGAUACCCUGGUAGUCCACGCUGUAAACGGUGUCGAUUUGGGGAUUGGGGUUUAGCCCUGGUGCCCGAAGCUAACGUGAUAAAUCGACCGCCUGGGGAGUACGGCCGCAAGGUUAAAACUCAAAUGAAUUGACGGGGGCCCGCACAAGCGGUGGAGCAUGUGGUUUAAUUCGAUGCAACGCGAAGAACCUUACCUACUCUUGACAUCCGAAGAAGAACUCAGAGAUGGGUUUGUGCCUUAGGGAGCUUUGAGACAGGUGCUGCAUGGCUGUCGU
rnacentral:rRNA from 1 species